rnacentral:rRNA from 1 species
UAGGGAAUCUUCCACAAUGGACGCAAGUCUGAUGGAGCAACGCCGCGUGAGUGAAGAAGGUUUUCGGAUCGUAAAGCUCUGUUGUUGGUGAAGAAGGAUAGAGGUAGUAACUGGCCUUUAUUUGACGGUAAUCAACCAGAAAGUCACGGCUAACUACGUGCCAGCAGCCGCGGUAAUACGUAGGUGGCAAGCGUUGUCCGGAUUUACUGGGCGUAAAGCGAGCGCAGGCGGAAGAAUAAGUCUGAUGUGAAAGCCCUCGGCUUAACCGGGGAACUGCAUCGGAAACUGUUUUUCUUGAGUGCAGAAGAGGAGAGUGGAAUUCCAUGUGUAGCGGUGGAAUGCGUAGAUAUAUGGAAGAACACCAGUGGCGAAGGCGACUCUCUGGUCUGCAACUGACGCUGAGGCUCGAAAGCAUGGGUAGCGAACAGG